UACGUAGGGGGCAAGCGUUAUCCGGAUUUACUGGGUGUAAAGGGAGCGUAGACGGCGGUGCAAGCCAGAUGUGAAAGCCCGGGGCUCAACCCCGGGACUGCAUUUGGAACUGUGCUGCUAGAGUGUCGGAGAGGCAGGCGGAAUGCGCGGUGUAGCGGUGAAAUGCAUAGAUAUCGCGCAGAACCCCGAUUGCGAAGGCAGCCUGCCGGCCCCACACUGACGCUGAGGCACGAAAGCGUGGGUAUCGAACAGG
rnacentral:rRNA from 1 species